rnacentral:rRNA from 1 species
GGACUACUGGGGUAUCUAAUCCUGUUCGCUCCCCACGCUUUCGCUCCUCAGCGUCAGUAUCGGCCCAGAGACCCGCCUUCGCCACCGGUGUUCCUCCUGAUAUCUGCGCAUUUCACCGCUACACCAGGAAUUCCAGUCUCCCCUACCGAACUCUAGCCUGCCCGUAUCGACUGCAGACCACACGGUUGAGCCGUGGGUUUUCACAGUCGACGCAACAAGCCGCCUACGAGCUCUUUACGCCCAAUAAAUCCGGACAACGCUUGCGCCCUACGUCUUACCGCGGCUGCUGGCAC